CCCGAGCUCUCCUUAAGCCGCCGAAAGAGUACCUCCCCCCUCGCCGCAGGAGGGAGAGUGGAAAGCAGGUUUAUUAUUUUUAAAAAGGCUCGCCAGCCCCCACCCUACCCCUGCCGCCACAAUGAGUCCCAAAGUCUGAGUCCGAGGGACCCGAGACGUGGCAUUCACGCCUGAGGACUAGAGAAAAUCCUUCAAAACAAGCUUUGGUUUCAUUUUCCAACGCCCUAGCCUGGGAAUCCUGCGGCUUGAGGACGCGGCCUGGCCCGGGCGAUUUGGGGGACUGACAGAAGGGAAGGAAGGAGAUCUCGCUCUACUCUAGCUUCCUCCAUAUCUCCCCCCUCCCAAAUAACCUACAAACGAAACCUUCGCAGCGCGGGCCGUUCAAGGGGCGCCUCCCCCACCGUUGGCUCAGAUUUCUGAUUCAGAAGGCCCGGGUGCUCUUGGAGCCGCCGAUCACACCAAAGCCAUCGGUUCCUGGGUGCCCGCCCUGCACUCCGCGCCCAGCCCCCCGAGCAGCAGACCCUCAGCUGCAGAGUUCUCAUCCAAACCCGCCGGCCUCCUUCUUCCACCUCCCUCCCCAACUUUGUUAAGGGUGCCUAUUUAAACCUGGUUUUGGUUACAAACACCCCCCUCUUUUCCUCCCUCGCUCUCCCCCAUCAGGCUCUGGUUACCAGAUCUGCGUUUACUUUGGAAAAAUCUAAGAUCGCCACAUCCGAGGAUACGUGUCCUAAGGAGGCAAUGAGCUUCCUGUGAUUUUUUUUUUUAAAAAAUAUGUUCUUUAAGUAGCUUUCUUUUAAAAGCCAGAGCCUUGUAGAAUGCCUAGGCACCCCAGUUUGUGGAAGUCAGGGUGAAGCCCUCCGAAACACCCUGCUCUGGCAGAGAAGCUGGCUUGGACAUCUGCGGACUCUGCUGCGUACUCCCUACUUUUCUCCCUCUCUUAAAUGCAGUUAAAAUGGCUGAAUUCCGGCUUUUAAUUAAAAACAGCCUAUAAUCGAAAA